rnacentral:rRNA from 1 species
UACGGGGGGGGGCAAGCGUUUGUUCGGAAUUACUGGGCGUAAAGGGCUCGUAGGUGGCCAACUAAGUCAGACGUGAAAUCCCUCGGCUUAACCGGGGAACUGCGUCUGAUACUGGAUGGCUUGAGUUUGGGAGAGGGAUGCGGAAUUCCAGGUGUAGCGGUGAAAUGCGUAGAUAUCUGGAGGAACACCGGUGGCGAAGGCGGCAUCCUGGACCAACACUGACACUGAGGAGCGAAGGCCAGGGGAGCAAACGGG